rnacentral:lncRNA from 1 species
CUCCCUGCAUGUGACUUGCACAGCCUUCCAUAAACACUUCCUGUAAAGAGAGCCCUAUUUAGGCUUUUAUUGCAAGUUCUGUUUAAUUCAGAUUUUCUUAUCCCCUGCUAUGUUAAUAGCUUGCUAGACCCUGCAAGAGCCUCCUGUAUGUGAUUAAAGUUCACUUUAGAGAUUGAGAUGCAAUUUAUCUUAAAUAAUUGUAUCUGUUCG